UGACAUGAACAGGUGACAUGUAGAAUAAUUGAGACAUUUACUACAAUGACUAAACGAGUGGCAUUGAGUCUAGUGUAGUAAACAUGACAUGGUUCUAGGGAUGGAUAGAAGUCUACAACAUUGAUUAUAUAUCAUGAUUGUGCAGAAGAGGCCAUUGACCCUAGUAGACAGGGUAUCCUCUUGAGAGGAUUUGAUCAUACUCACUAGUCUGUUUUUGCUUGUCGGUGGGUCGCUUCCACCGAGGCACGAGUUCUCGCGAGUAUUCACGAGGGGCAGACGUAGUUGCCCCGCAGACGGUCUCGGUGUGCGAGUGCAGUUCCUCACCUAUGAGAUUGAAAGUGAGUCGAGGGUUAACACGGGUUAACCAAGUAGAUGUGGGUAAUGAACAUGAACUGCAUAGUAAGAUUUAAUCAUUAUUAACUCGAGUAACAUAGUGUAUGUGUAGAUUACAUUGCUAUGUACUUUAUAUUACUCAUGACAUGUACUAGCAUGAUGUAGUUGUUGCAAACAUUAUCAUCAUUGAUGGCAUGAUACAGUAGUUGCAGUUAUUUCGCUAUAUAUCUAUCUAUCUCUCUAUCUGUGACAGCUUAGACCUAAGUGGAAAACCGCGCGUCGGCGCCGAACCCACUGGGAACUAUAUUAUAUAAGUUCUCACCCGUGUGGUUUUGGGUAACAGGUACACACAGAGGCGACGAGCGAGGACCGCGGCAAGGGCAUAGCCGCCGCUAAGUGAGCCUAUUAGUAGCUUUUUCUUUAUGCAUUAGAGUACCCUCGUUACAGAUGAGUUUUUGGAUAAGGCUACUUAUAUUUUGAAGAAAACAUGUAUUUACAUUUUGGAAGAUGAAAAUGUAAUAUAUUCAAAUGAUGUAAAUGUUGAAUGAUUGUGAUAGUUAGACUAUCUCUCUUUAUACACUUGUAUAUUACUUGUGGUUCUUGCUCUUAGAUGUAUUGCACUUGUGUGCAUCGUGUUUGAUCAUGUAUGUUAUUUAAGCAAAUAACUGGGUGCUUAAUUGUACAUGAUCUGGUUGCUUAGCCUUGGGCGGACAGGAGAGGUGCUGUCCGUUCGGCGUCUGUUCGACGCGCCCGAACCGGACCGAAUUGGUAGCGGUCUCGGGGCGUGACAGAGUUGUUGGUAUCAGAGUCACUAAGAGCAAGUAAAGAGAGAGUCUAGGAUGGCGCCGGCGGAAUUGAAAGAGUUGCGGGCACAAUUGAUAGAUCUCAUUGAUAAGGGAUUCAUACGGCCAAGUGUAUCACCGUGGGGAGCCCCGGUCCUAUUCGUGCGAAAGAAGGACGGAUCAUUUUGACUCUGCGUAGACUACCGCGAGUUGAACAAGGUCACGAUCAAGAACAAGUACCCGUUGCUGAGGAUUGACGAUCUGUUUGAUCAGUUGCAAGGAUCUCGGGUUUAUUCAAAGAUUGAUCUACAAUCCAGUUAUCAUCAACUCAAGAUUAAGCCGGAAGAUGUGCACAAGACCGCGUUUCGCACGCGGUAUGGACACUAUGAAUUCACGGUCAUGCCGUUUGGGCUCACUAACGCCCCGGCAGCAUUCAUGGAUUUAAUGAACCGUGUCUUCAAAGAGUACUUGGACCGAUUUGUCGUGGUCUUUAUAGACGACAUCUUGGUCUACUCGCGCAGCGACGAGGAACAUGCCGAGCAUUUAAGGGUCGUGCUUCAAAUCCUUCGGGAGGAGAAGUUGUAUGCUAAGUUUAAGAAAUGUGACUUUUGGCUCCGAGAGGUUGCAUUUCUUGGGCAUGUCAUUUCCGAGGGAGGAGUAUCUGUUGACCCGAGGAAAGUGGAGGCGAUCAAGGAUUGGCCUCGCCCGACUAACGUCACGGAAGUUCGAAGCUUCGUAGGUUUAGCGGGUUAUUAUAGACGGUUCGUGGAGGGAUUCUCGAAGAUUGUGGGUCCACUUACCCGUCUGACUCAGAAAGGCGCCAAAUUCAUUUGGAGUAACGAGUGCGACCGGAGUUUUCAAGAGUUGAAGGAUAGAUUGACUUCGACUCCGGUACUCGCCUUACCGAUGCAAGACGAAGACUUCGUGGUGUAUAGCGACGCGUCACAAUCGGGCUUAGGGUGUGUUCUGAUGCAGGGCGGGAAGGUGAUCGCUUAUGCGUCCCGUCAGCUGAAGAUCUAUGAGAAGAAUUACCCUGUCCAUGACUUGGAGUUGGCCGCGGUAGUGUUUGCCCUCAAGCUAUGGAGGCACUACUUGUAUGGCGCGCGUUGCGAGAUAUACACGGACCACAAGAGUCUAAAAUACCUUUUCACGCAAAAGGAGCUCAAUAUGCGACAGCGGCGGUGGUUGGAAUUGCUGAAGGUUUUGAUGUGACAAUCCUAUACCACCCCGGAAAAGCGAACGUGGUGGCUGACGCGCUUAGCAGGAAGUCAGUGGAAAAUCUGGCUAUGUUGGUCACACGUCAAGAACCUCUGUGGAGAGAGAUGGAACGAUUGGAUCUCGAGAUGGUAGCUCCGGAAAUCCCGUCUAUGCUUACGGCUCUCGUUGUCCAACCGACCUUGUUGGAGCAGAUAAAUAGUUUGCAAUCUGCGGACCCCAAUCUCCAAAAGGUGCGGCGAGACAUCGAGAGUGGACACGGCGGUGAUUUCAGUGUAGAUGUUGAGGGUGCGCUUCGGUUUCGAAACCGAUGGUGCGUAUCGGAAAACGAGGAAGUCCGAAAGUUAAUAUUGCAAGAAGCACAUCGGACUCCUUAUAGUAUUCACCCGGGUGGCACCAAGAUGUACCGUGAUCUGAAGAUGCAGUACUGGUGGCCGGGCAUGAAAGCAGACAUUGGGCGCUAUGUAGCGCAGUGCCUAGUAUGCCAGCAAGUGAAGGCUGAACAUGGCAAUCAUAUUUAUAUAGUUCUCACCCCGUGUGUGUUUUGGGUACAGGUAAACAUCAGGCGAGAGGCUAAAGCACCGCGGCGCCGGAGGAAGGCAGGAAAGAGGGAACAGAGCGCCCUAGUACGCUCAAGUUAUGGGUAAGCUUGUUAUGUGUGCCAUAUGAGUGCAUGUACCGAGGUUAAUCCCAUCCGAAGCGUGUACUAGAUAAUGUUUGGAAGAUAAUUAUGCCGGGGAUGGCUAAACUUAUAAUACCAGUUGAAGGAGAAAACAAAGUAAUAUAGCAUUUUGUAGAGACGAGAGUCAAAGAUGGUAUAUUUAAUUUCAGAGAUGAGCGGUAAAUGUUAAGAGAUUGUGAGGAGUUUAGAGAGCUAUCUCUCUAUAUUAUUAGAACACUAUAUAUAUAAAUUGUAGAGUGUUGCGUGCUUAGAAAGAAUAGGGCGAGACUUCGUGAUACAUCGGAAUGAGGCUGAAAUUUUAAUAUAAAAAUAAAUAUAAAUGAAAAUAGUGUGAAAUACUAUUUUAUUGGACUUAUAGACAUAAAAUAUAAGUCUGGAAUGGCCCGUGUUGAAAUCGGAGCGAAAAUAGAAGAUUUAGAAUUUUCUGUGUGAAAUGGGGCAGAUAAAUUAGCAGAAAAUGCAUAGUGUCAGAAAAUUCUGAAAACUGGAGGAUAAGCCAGAAUUAUUCUUAUGAGGCUAGAUUUAAAGUUUCAUAUCAUUUUGACACCCGGAAGGUGGAAAAUAAAAUCCAAUAGUGAUCUGAUAAAGAUUACAGUUCGGUACAGCUUUCGGUGACCAAACGGGGUCGAAACUGAAAUAUUAAAAUUUCUUUGGACUUAUUAAGUAAAACUGAACGUGCCUGUCAAAUUUGAGCUCAAACGGAUAUUCAGGGAGCUCCGGCGAAAGGUAUUAUAUUUUGAGCCGCUAAACUGAAAUUGUGCUAAAGUGAAUAGUGUUGGUGUUGACUAUAAAAAGGAGUGUUGACUCCUUCUUCCUCCUCAGCUGCAGCCAGCACCAAGCAUCACACGCACAUGGUGAAGGAGAGAGAAACCCUCUCUUUCUCUCUCUAAAUAUCUCUCUCAUCUCUCUAGAUCUUUCGCCCAAAUUCGCGGCGUUGGUGGAGAUCGAGCUUGCGAACGCGUUGGAGGCGACGGAUUGAGCUUUCGUGCGCCCGUUGGAGCGACGUGUUUUCGUUGCGGCGUUCACAUUGGGGUAAACUUUUGAGAUUUGGCUUAAUCCUUAACCUUAAGUGUUCUAGUAGCCUCUAAUGAGCAUUCUUAGCAUGUUGCUCCAUUUAAUUUGGAUUAUUUGGGGCUAAUUGCAUGUUAGGGCUCAAAAAUGGGAUUUUGCAAUACGUGAGGGUUUGAUCUAAAUUGAUCAUGUAUAAACCUAAUUGCUAGGUUUUCUGACGCGUUGGCGAAGUCGGUUCGGCGAUACGACGAGCGUACGCGAAGAUAUUAAAGAACGAAGCCGUUAGGGUACAGAUUGCCGCAACUUGCGGCGAAAGCUUCCAAAAAUCACGAAAUCGGAAUCCUAGCCUCGUGAUAGCGAUAAAAGGUGGGGGGUGUCAUCCCGAAGCAAUCGGGUUUCUUUUUAUGUCUAAGUUAAUUAUGUUGAUCAUAUUGCGCUAUAGGAAUAGUAGUCGUACAUUUCCAUUUCCUUGCAUGCUUUCUUGGUGGCGUAGCGGGGUGAGCUUGACACGUGGACUAGGAUAGCAUGAGGAUUGGGUCUUGUGACAUAGAAUCCUAUAGCGGCAUAAAGAGCCGAACUUGGACAUAGCCUAGUAGAGUGGCAUCGAACUAGUGUGGUAGAAGCACUAUGACAUGAACAGGUGACAUGUAGAAUAAUUGAGACAUUUACUACAAUGACUAAACGAAUGGCAUUGAGUCUAGUGUAGUAAACAUGACAUGGUUCUAGGGAUGGUAGAAGUCCCAACAUUGAUUAUAUAUCAUGAUUGUGCAGCAGAGGCACAUUGACCCUAGUAGACAGGGUAUCCUCUUGAGAGGAUUUGAUCAUACUCACUAGUCUGUUUUUGCUUGUCGGUGGUCGCUCCACCGAGGCACGAGUCUCCGGAGUACUUCACUAGGGGCAGACGUAGUUGUCCCGCAGACGGUCUCGGUGUGCGAGUGCAGCUUCUCCUCACCUAUGAGAUUGAAAGUGAGUCGAGGGUUAACCUACGGGUUAACCAAGUAGAUUGGGUAAUGAACAUGAACUGCAUAGUAGAUUUGCAUUAUUACCUCGAGUAGACAUAGUGUAUGUUGUAGAUUACAUUGCUAUGUACUUUUAUAUACUCAUGACAUGUACUAGCAUGAUAGUAGUUGUUGCAAGCAUUAUCAUCAUUGAUGGCAUGAUAGAGUAGUUGCAGUUAUUUCGCUAUAUAUCUAUCUAUCUCUCUAUCUGUGCCAGCUUAGACCUAGUGGGAAAACCGGCGGCGUCGGCGGCCGAACCCACUGGGAACUAUAUUAUAUAGUUCUCACCCCGUG
rnacentral:lncRNA from 1 species